GGUCGAUUAACUCAGUUGGUUAGAGUGCCGCACUAAUAUGCCGUGCGGCGAGAAAGGUAUGCGGAUGUCAUGGGUUCGACCCCCAUAUUGACCA